rnacentral:rRNA from 1 species
UACGGAGGGUGCAAGCGUUGAUCGGAAUUAUUGGGCGUAAAGGGUGGGUAGGUGGUCUCGUUUGUCUGGGGUGAAAGCCUUGAGCUUAACUCAAGAAGUGCCCUAGAAACGGUGAGACUAGAGUCUUGGAGAGGGUCGUGGAAUUCCCGGUGUAGCGGUGAAAUGCGUAGAGAUCGGGAGGAACACCAGAGGCGAAAGCGGCGACCUGGACAAGUACUGACACUCAACUACGAAAGCGUGGGGAGCAAACAGG